AUUGAACGCUGGCGGCAUGCUUUACACAUGCAAGUCGAACGGUAACAGGCCGCAAGGUGCUGACGAGUGGCGAACGGGUGAGUAAUGCAUCGGAACGUGCCCAGUCGUGGGGGAUAACUACUCGAAAGAGUAGCUAAUACCGCAUACGAUCUAUGGAUGAAAGCGGGGGACCGUAAGGCCUCGCGCGAUUGGAGCGGCCGAUGUCAGAUUAGGUAGUUGGUGGGGUAAAGGCUCACCAAGCCAACGAUCUGUAGCUGGUCUGAGAGGACGACCAGCCACACUGGGACUGAGACACGGCCCAGACUCAUACGGGAGGCAGCAGUGGGGAAUUUUGGACAAUGGGCGCAAGCCUGAUCCAGCAAUGCCGCGUGCAGGAAGAAGGCCUUCGGGUUGUAAACUGCUUUUGUACGGAACGAAACGGCUCUGGUUAAUACCCGGGGCUAAUGACGGUACCGUAAGAAUAAGCACCGGCUAACUACGUG
rnacentral:rRNA from 1 species